rnacentral:sRNA from 12 species
UGAGGGAGACGCCAAAUGCGAUAGCAUUUCCGAAAAUGGCAUCGACCGAUAUGCCACUGAGCGAAGCGAGGGGGCGCUACAACAG